rnacentral:tRNA from 1 species
GUUUUAAUAAUUUAAUAAAAAUAUUGAUUUUGUAAUUCAAAAAUAAGAACUUCUUUUAAAACU